rnacentral:rRNA from 1 species
AGCGUGAGAAUCUGGCUUCAGGUCUGGGACAACCACUGGAAACGGUGGCUAAUACCGGAUGUGCCGAGAGGUGAAAGGUAACUGCCUGAAGAUGAGCUCGCGUCUGAUUAGCUAGUUGGAAGUGUAAUGGACUCCCAAGGCGACGAUCAGUAGCUGGUCUGAGAGGACGAUCAGCCACACUGGGACUGAGACACGGCCCAGACUCCUACGGGAGGCAGCAGUGGGGAAUUUUCCGCAAUGGGCGAAAGCCUGACGGAGCAAACCGCGUGAGGGAGGAAGGCUCUUGGGUCGUAAACCUCUUUUCUCAGGGAAGAAGACAAUGACGGUACCUGAGGAAUAAGCAUCGGCUAACUCCGUGCCAGCAGCCGCGGUAAUACGGAGGAUGCAAGCGUUAUCCGGAAUGAUUGGGCGUAAAGCGUCCGCAGGUGGCGAUGUAAGUCUGCUGUUAAAGAGUCUAGCUCAACUAGAUAAGAGCAGUGGAACUACAUAGCUAGAGUACGUUCGGGGCAGAGGGAAUUCCUGGUGUAGCGGUGAAAUGCGUAGAGAUCAGGAAGAACACCGGUGGCGAAGGCGCUCUGCUAGGCCGUAACUGACACUGAGGGACGAAAGCUAGGGGAGCGAAUGGGAUAGAUAC